CAACUCUGUCCACUUGGGGGAAGAGAACUCCAAGUUGAAGAACACAAAAAACAGGAUCCCAUGACUUCACACUUGAAAGAGUGUUCUUAGAUGUCGUUUCUGUAAUGGCUGCUCCUGAAAGCAAUGCAGGAACAAAGUAUAAGCCAGGGGUCAUCGUGAUAAGGGACACAGCAGCAGGUCCACGGAAAAAAACCUCCAAGCAAAAUCAUCAACUUUCAGUGGAAUUCGGCUUGAAAGCCAAGAACUGUUAGUAAAAAGAAGAUGAAAGUAGAGGAAAGAAGGACAGAGGGGCGUGAGCAGGAGGUGAGAAUGCGGAGGGCUUGCAAUAGGCCCGCAGCCUCUCUCUCUCAACAGGUUGGCAUGAAGGAUAAGAGGCAGUCACCCCAAAGGAAGAAAGAUGGUCUUCAGGAAGGGAAGAUAUGCUUAAAAUUAAACACAGGGGAGGAAAAGGGUGUUUACAGUUUUCUGAGAUGAGAUUCAAGGCUGAAGUCAUAGUUUGGCAGCCAAACCAAAGAAAUUCGGUUUCCCUCUGAAAGAUUUAUGUCUUCUAAGGUUGAGAAAUAUGUCUGGCUGCCAAUAUUUCACAAAGCAACAGAGAAAGAAUUACUACCUACUUUAGUGUUUGG